rnacentral:rRNA from 1 species
UCCAGACUCCUACGGGAGGCAGCAGUCGGGAAUAUUGCACAAUGGAGGAAACUCUGAUGCAGUGACACCGCGUAUAGGAAGAAGGUUUUCGGAUUGUAAACUAUUUUAGACAGGGAAGAAAAAAGACAGUACCUGUAGAAUAAGCUCCGGCUAACUACGUGCCAGCAGCCGCGGUAAUACGUAGGGGGCAAGCGUUAUCCGGAUUCACUGGGUGUAAAGGGAGCGUAGACGGCGACGCAAGUCUGGAGUGAAAGCCCGGGGCCCAACCCCGGGACUGCUCUGGAAACUGCGUCGCUGGAGUACGGGAGGGGCAGGCGGAAUUCCUGGUGUAGCGGUGAAAUGCGUAGAUAUCAGGAGGAACACCGGCGGCGAAGGCGGCCUGCUGGACCGUGACUGACGUUGAGGCUCGAGAGCGUGGGGAGCAAACAGGAUUAGAUACCCGGGUAAAA